rnacentral:rRNA from 1 species
CUGCAGCCCGAGUGGUGACCGAUAUUAUUGAGCCUAAAGCGUCCGUAGCCGGUCUGGUAAAUUCUUGGGUAAAUCGGGCAGCUUAACUGUCCGACUUCCGAGGAGACUGCCAGACUUGGGACCGGGAGAGGUCAGAGGUACUCCAGGGGUAGGGGCUAAAUCCUGUAAUCCUUGGGGGACCACCAGUGGCGAAGGCGUCUGACUAGAACGGAUCCGACGGUAAGGGACGAAACCCUGGGGCGCAAACCGGAUUAGAGACCCGAGUAGUCC